rnacentral:tRNA from 1 species
GCUGCAGCAGCUCAACGGGUAGAGUUAAUACUUAAAAUAUUAUGAUAGAUGUUCGAUUCAUCUUAGAGGCU